GUAGGGUGCGAGCGUUGUCCGGAUUUAUUGGGCGUAAAGGGCUCGUAGGUGGUUGAUCGCGUCGGAAGUGUAAUCUUGGGGCUUAACCCUGAGCGUGCUUUCGAUACGGGUUGACUUGAGGAAGGUAGGGGAGAAUGGAAUUCCUGGUGGAGCGGUGGAAUGCGCAGAUAUCAGGAGGAACACCAGUGGCGAAGGCGGUUCUCUGGGCCUUUCCUGACGCUGAGGAGCGAAAGCGUGGGGAGCGAACAGGCUUAGAUACCCUGGUAGUCCACGCUGUAAACGGUGGGUACUAGGUGUGGGGUCCAUUCCACGGGUUCCGCGCCGUAGCUAACGCUUUAAGUACCCCGCCUGGGGAGUACGGCCGCAAGGCUA
rnacentral:rRNA from 1 species